rnacentral:rRNA from 1 species
AUUGAACGCUGGCGGCAGGCCUAACACAUGCAAGUCGAACGGUAACAGGAAGCAGCUUGCUGCUUCGCUGACGAGUGGCGGACGGGUGAGUAAUGUCUGGGAAGCUGCCUGAUGGAGGGGGAUAACUACUGGAAACGGUAGCUAAUACCGCAUAAUGUCGCAAGACCAAAGAGGGGGACCUUCGGGCCUCUUGCCAUCGGAUGUGCCCAGAUGGGAUUAGCUUGUUGGUGGGGUAACGGCUCACCAAGGCGACGAUCCCUAGCUGGUCUGAGAGGAUGACCAGCCACACUGGAACUGAGACACGGUCCAGACUCCUACGGGAGGCAUCAGUGGGGAAUAUUGCACAAUGGGCGCAAGCCUGAUGCAGCCAUGCCGCGUGUAUGAAGAAGGCCUUCGGGUUGUAAAGUACUUUCAGCGGGGAGGAAGGGAGUAAAGUUAAUACCUUUGCUCAUUGACGUUACCCGCAGAAGAAGCACCGGCCAACUCCGUG